CAUUUAAUGAAGUUUUUAGUUGAAUAAAUAAUUAAAUUGUUGAGUGACGUGUUUGUACACGCAAUUUCUGAUGAGAUAAACUGAAUUGUAUGGUAUUUUUGGGGUCCCGUGGGAAAACCCGGUCGUCACAAAACCGUGUCAAGUGUGGUUUUCUUCGAAACCAAACCGGUAAAAGUCAACCCUCGAUGAUUUCAAUGAAGCUUAAAAGUUAUGAUUUUAAAUCUAGUACAAUUUCAAUGAUUUUUAUAGUUCCAAAGUAAUAAAAUUUAAAAAAUUUGUUUUUAAAAUGCACUAAAAACGUCAACUUGGUUAUUUUUUAUUAUUAAGAAAGUAUAAUUUAUGAUCAUUUUAUGAAGAACACGAAUUUUUUUAGUUAAUUUAUAUUCAUUUGUUAAAAAAAUUAAUGAAGAAAUUCGAAUACAUAAAAAUUUCUUAAAUUAAAGUGUUUUAUUAACCGGUUUAUUGGAUAAAAAUUAUAAUUUUAUGGUAAUACGGGGAGAAAAAAGAGAGAAAAAUGAGAAGAUUUUGGAAUUAGACGCUUACACGACUUUUUUUCAAUAUAACACGUGUCUGUGUUGUAAAUUCGAAAUGAAACGUUUGUAUGCAAUAAAUGUAAAAACGAAAAACCACUGGUUUUAAAGAUGUCGUCUACGUUUGGAAUUUCCGCUUUGUUAAUUUUGAAAAAAAUAAAUAAAGUUUUAACCAUUAA